ACCCUUGUGGAGGAGGACGCCGAAGGUGGGGCUAAUGACUGGGGUGAAGUCGUAACAAGGUAGCCGUACCGGAAGGUGCGGCUGGAUCACCUCCUAACAGGGAGACAACAAAAUGUUUAAUAUUAUUAUUUUGUCACCUUAGGUCGAUCGGUAUCUCACAUUCUUAAUUUCUUAAGAAUUUCAUUUCCUAAGUUUUUUUCUAGGUCACACCCAUUACUUUUCCUGGGCCAUUAGCUCAGGUGGUUAGAGCGCACCCCUGAUAAGGGUGAGGUCCCUGGUUCAAGUCCAGGAUGGCCCAUAUCUCUAUGUUGGGGGUAUAGCUCAGUUGGUAGAGCGCCUGCUUUGCAAGCAGGAUGUCAGCGGUUCGAGUCCGCUUACCUCCACUGGUUUCCACCUCUUUCAUAAUCUUAUUGAAAGGAAAAGUUUUGAAAUGUGAUCAAAUUCUGAACGAAUCUAGCUUCUUAAUCUAAUUAAAUUAUUAGGAUGCUGGACUCAUUGAAUUAAUUUCAUUGUUUUCAGAGAACCUUGACAACUGCAUAGAUUAUUUUUAAAGACAAUAAGCAUCUUUAAUGAUGCAGAUUUAUUAUUUGUGCGAAUGCAUCAAUAACAAUUCUAUUAAGCUGAUGCUUCAAAAUUUUGAAGUUAUUGGUCAAGCUACAAAGGGCUCACGGAGGAUACCUAGGCACACAGA
rnacentral:misc_RNA from 1 species